AUGGGAGUGCCUAAGCCUGCCGAGGUAGUAGAAGAGUAUGUGACCCCUUUGUUCAGAAAUCCCCCAAACACACUCCCAGGGGGUGACAUGCACUUGUCAUUAAUGCAGCAGCGACACUGGGCUGGCCCAGCCUGGGUACUCCUGCCUGUGCGUGUUGUCCUGAAGCUGGACAUGAGGAACCACGAGAGGGCACUGUCCAAAAGUCUCUCGCCUGGAAAUGCUGGAGAAGCCAGAGGAGAAGCCUGUCUGCUGCCCACCCGGGGACCAAGGACACCAAGCCAUCAGAGAAAACAUCCUUUGAAAAAAUGUGCUGGAGAAUGUGGCCAAGCCACUGCCAUGCAUCAAAGCAGCCACACCCAACUGACAAGGAAACUGAAGAGCUCCUCAGCCUUUAUCAGGAAGGAAUUCUCUCCACCCGUCCUGGGGCUCUGGCCCUUGUCCUCAUCCUUAUCCUAGACUUCUGUCCUAGCCUGGUGAUUGGGGAGGUGGGACAAUAAGCCUUCCAGUACUGUGGGACAUGCAUGCAGAGUGGGGGGUGGGGGUGGGGAGCCUAGGGGACAAUGGGACAUGCCUAGGGCAAGGUCUCAGGAGGCAGGAACACUGAAAUGGGGGAACAGAAGCACUCAGCAAGCAGGGCAGAAUGAGCAGAGGGAAAAACAACUCCUGGGAAUGUGUCUGGCUCUUUAGAAUGCAAAUGAAGGGCCUGAACUAAAGAUGAGCAUUGGAUUUCUAAGACAUUAAAGGAUCCUAUAACAGAAUCUCUUUCAACCUGAGGUAAAUCCCCUGAAUUCCCUUUCCAGAGGUCUUUUACAGUCCACUGAGAGCUGUUCCUUUGCUGUAAACCCAUUUCUCCUGGCUUCUGGAACAAUGGUCAGCUUCCUGUGUGUGAUGAGUUCUUCCUAGCCAUGGACAGAGCAGAACCUACAGGUUGUUUCAGGGGGUGGGAUGACUGGCUUUCCCAUCUGGUGAGUACAUGGCUGGUCCCUCAUGAGAAUGGUGGCCUGGCUAAUGGCUCACUCCCAGGGGACCAUGUAGAGCAGUCAUGUGCUCCGGGAGGUGCAGUUAGCCAGGAGAUCCCAGGGGGUGGUGGUGACAUAGUGCUCCUCAGCCAAGAACUGCAGCGUUCUGAAGAGAGCUGUCUUGGUUCUCUCAAUGGCUGCAGAAUCCAAGGAACAAAUGCCACUGCUCGACAGUGGGCCACGCUGGGGGAGCGGGCCAAGGGGUGGGAUGGGGAGUGCAGCAUCCAGGCUUUGGAAAACACUGAUUGGAGACCUCGCAUCCAGAGUGUGAAGGGUUCCUUUAAGGGGUGAGUGUUUCUGGUUGAGGGUUGUCCCCCCCCCCCCCCAUUCAACACUGUAUCUACUUUAUUAUUCAUUACUCAUUCAGUGGUCAUCUCCAUCUUCAGGUGUCAGAGAGAAGGACUCGGACAUUUUUGGGGGCCAGUAUUCUGACUGCAGUUCCCUUGAAUAGCAUAUUAACUUAUGUGGAUCUUCUGGAAGGUUCCUACACUUCAAGCCAGGCCUUCAUCUGUGGCUGUACCUCCGAUGAGGGAGGCUGGGCAUGCAGAUUUCCUUUUCAGCAGUGAUGCCCCCUGCUUUACUCUGGGCUCAGAGGAGACCACUUGCCAUGUCAUCAUGCCUGUUUUAUAGAAGGGGCAGCUGAGCCUCAGAGAGGCUGAGUUCUCCUUGGUCACCCAGCUGGUAAGAGGCAGAGCCAUAAUUCAGUAACUGAGCUGCACUGUUUCUCCUUUGUGUCAGAUGUGCAGCAACCCGGCUGGGUUAGAUCCAUGUCACGUGAGGAGUGUCAAGCUCAGAGAGGUGUAGUGACUUGUUUGGGGUUCUACAGCUGUAAUUGCAGAGCUGAGAUUCAAAGCCAUUCCAUCUGACCCCGGUUCCCCUAACAUGGCCCUGUGGGUCCUAGUUCCAGGAAGCCCGUAUGGGUGAAUUUUGCAACUAAUAGCCUGUUUCCCACACCCCAGAUAUCUAAUAACACUGUGCUGGGCUCUUGCCAGGCAGCUGUGAGGGAUUUCCACUCGUACAGCCCUUGCCUGGGGUUGUGUCUCCAUCAUAGAUGGAAGAUGUGCUACAGGUUCCUGAUAAUACUGGCUGGGAUUAACCUUCUCUGCCAGCUGGACCAAGUUUACCAAGUCAGUACCUUGUACGGUGCUUAACACAGAGCUUGGCUCACAUGGCGUACUCGGUAGGUGUUGUGUUAAAUAAAUGAGUAUAUUCAUGAAUUACA
rnacentral:lncRNA from 1 species